CCUACGGGAGGCAGCAGUGAGGAAUAUUGGUCAAUGGGCGCGAGCCUGAACCAGCCAAGUAGCAUGAAGGAUGACUGCCCUACGGGUUGUAAACUUCUUUUAUAAAGGAAUAAAGUGAGGCACGUGUGCCUUUUUGUAUGUAUUUUAUGAAUAAGGAUCGGCUAACUCCGUGCCAGCAGCCGCGGUACUACGGAGGAUCCGAGCGUUAUCCGGAUUUAUUGGGUUUAAAGGGAUCGUAGAUGGGUUGUUAAGUGAGUUGUGAAAGUUUGCGGCUCAACCGUAAGAUUGAAAUUUAUACUGGCAGCUGUGAGGAAAGUUGAGGUAGGCGGAAUGCGUGGUGUAGCGGUGAAAUGUUUAGA
rnacentral:rRNA from 1 species